rnacentral:rRNA from 1 species
UUUUUAGUCACCCGUACCCCAAACCGACUCAGGUGUUCAGGUAGAGAAUACCAAGGAGAUCGAGAGAAUCGUGGUUAAGGAACUCGGCAAAAUGCCCCCGUAACUUCGGGAGAAGGGGGGCCCGCGGUGUGAAGGGACUUGCUCCUGGAGCACCAUACGGCCGCAGAGACCAGUGGGAAGCGACUGUUUACUAAAAACACAGGUCCGUGCCAAGUCGCAAGACGAUGUAUACGGACUGACGCCUCCCCGGUGCUGGAAGGUUAAGAGGAACGGUUAGCCGCAAGGCGAAGCUGAGAAUUUAAGCCCCAGUAAACGGCGGUGGUAACUAUAACCAUCCUAAGGUAGCGAAAUUCCUUGUCGGGUAAGUUCCGACCUGCACGAAUGGCGUAACGACUUCCCAGCUGUCUCAACCGCGAACUCGGCGAAAUUGCACUACGAGUAAAGAUGCUCGUUACGCGCAGAAGGACGGAAAGACCCCGUGACCUUUACUACAGCUUGGUAUUGGUGUUCGGUGUGGCUUGUGUAGGAUAGGUGGGAGACUGUGAAGCUUGGACGCUAGUUCAGGUGGAGUCAUUGUUGAAAUACCACUCUGGUCACUCUGGAUAUCUAACUUCGAACCGUGAUCCGGUUCAGGGACAGUGCCUGGUGGGUAGUUUAACUGGGGCGGUUGCCUCCUAAAAAGUAACGGAGGCGCCCAAAGGUUCCCUCAACCUGGUUGGCAAUCAGGUGGCGAGUGUAAGUGCACAAGGGAGCUUGACUGUGAGACUGACAAGUCGAGCAGGGACGAAAGUCGGGACUAGUGAUCCGGCAGUGGCUUGUGGAAGCGCUGUCGCUCAACGGAUAAAAGGUACCUCGGGGAUAACAGGCUGAUCUUGCCCAAGAGUCCAUAUCGACGGCAUGGUUUGGCACCUCGAUGUCGGCUCGUCGCAUCCUGGGGCUGGAGUAGGUCCCAAGGGUUGGGCUGUUCGCCCAUUAAAGCGGUACGCGAGCUGGGUUUAGAACGUCGUGAGACAGUUCGGUCCCUAUCCUCUGCGCGCGCAGGAAAUUUGAGAAGAUCUAUCCCUAUUACGAGAGGACCGGGAUGGACGAACCUCGGGUGUGUCAGUUGUUCCGCCAGGAGCACCGCUGAUUAGCUACGUUCGGAACGGAUAACCGCUGAAAGCAUCUAAGCGGGAAGCCGGCUUCAAGAUGAGAUUUCCAUGCCCUCGGGCGAGAGGCUCCCAGCUAGACUACUGGGUUGAUAGGCAGGAUGUGGAAGUGCGGACUAAAGACGCAUGGAGCUGACCUGUACUAAUAAGCCGAUAACUUGAUC